rnacentral:lncRNA from 1 species
GAGCUCUUUGGAUAGUUAAUACAAUAGAAGAGAUUUAUGAAUGGCAGUCUGCUAGAUAAAUUGUUAGACUUUGUGAUACUUUUCUCAAUUGAAGAUUUGUGUUAGUAAUUCCUUUUGGAAGAAUUCUUAAGAAACAGUAAGGUAUCUAGUUAGUGUUUUGUGGGGCCCUGCUUGAAUUUUCUACACAAAUUGUCCCUAUGAUAGGGCAUGUGGGAGGGA